rnacentral:misc_RNA from 1 species
UUUGCAAUCAUUCAGUUAUCAAUGAUAACCUCCCAAAGAAAAACAAAAUUAACAAUUUAAUAACAAAAUUUAGGAAGCUAGAAGAGCUUCACCAAAAAACAAUUCAAGUCGAAAAGGAAUUAGCCUGUGAGAACCACUUUCGGUCUCACACUUCACGGCUUCCUUCUGGCAGGUCUAGUGUCAGACUUCCAUUACGCAAUUCUCCUGAUUGUCUAAGUGCAACAUACAACUUGGCAAAAGGGCGAUUAUUAAAUUUAGAAAAACGUUUCAAAAAAUAUAUUUCAUUAAAAUCUCAAUACAUACAGUUCAUGAGAGAAUAUCGAAGUUUAGGCCAGCAGACAUCUAUUCCAAUAGCAAACGCAAUUUUGUAGGAGCGGCAAGAGAGCUCACUCUGAUCCUUCUCCUACAUGGGGAAAGAGGCCUAUGCCCAGUGGUGGGAUAUUAC